rnacentral:rRNA from 1 species
AUUGAACGCCGGCGGCAUGCUUUACACAUGCAAGUCGAACGGUAACAGGUUAAGCUGACGAGUGGCGAACGGGUGAGUAAUGCAUCGGAACGUGCCCGAUCGUGGGGGAUAACGCAGCGAAAGCUGCGCUAAUACCGCAUACGAUCUGAGGAUGAAAGCGGGGGACCGUAAGGCCUCGCGCGAUCGGAGCGGCCGAUGUCAGAUUAGGUAGUUGGUGGGGUAAAGGCUCACCAAGCCGACGAUCUGUAGCUGGUCUGAGAGGACGACCAGCCACACUGGGACUGGGACACGGCCCAGACUCCUACGGGAGGCAGCAGUGGGGAAUUUGGGACAAUGGGCGAAAGCCUGAUCCAGCAAUGCCGCGUGCAGGAAGAAGGCCUUCGGGUUGUAAACUGCUUUUGUACGGAGCGAAAAGGCUCUCUCUAAUACAGGGGGCUCAUGACGGUACCGUAAGAAUAAGCACCGGCUAACUACGUGCCAGCCGCCGCCGUAAGAC